rnacentral:lncRNA from 1 species
GAAAGAUUAGACCCAUUUAGUCCUCUGGCCUACAUCUUUCUCCCAUGCUGGAUGCUUCCUGCCCUUGAACAUUGAACUCCAAGUUCUUCAGCUUUGGGACUCGGACUUUCUUUGCUUCUCAGCUUGUAGACAGCCUAUUGUGGGACCUCACCUCGUGAUCACGAUCCUACAGGACAUUCAAUCAUCACGUCUCCUUAGGCCCCUCUCAACUGUGGCAGUUUCUCAGACUUCGUUGUUUUUGCUCUUUCUCUUUCACGUGGGGAGAGUGUGGAACGGCUCAGUUUCUCCAGCAAGGAAUCCUCCUGUCCUGUCUAAAAGGCAACCUGCAUCCUAGGAGCAAAGAGAGGGAAAAGCACUGAGGAGUACGGCCAUGCCAUAGGCAGAUUUGCAAUUAAUUCUCUCGCUUGCAGCCCUAUGACUAAUUCUGGGCCAGGCCGUGCAUAUUGUCUCCAAAUCCUGAGGCUCUUGCCUCCCAUUCUCCAAAGAAUAAUCAGCCUCCUGCCUGGGGGGGUGAUUACACAGCUGCUAGGGUUCUAUGCCUGAGCCGUAAGUGAGGUACACAGACUGUUUCCCAUGUUAACAUAUUCUUCAGUUUAUUCCCACACUCUCUGCUGUACUGGAUUCCUCAGUUUCGGAGCUUCUCCAGGAGUCUACAGGACUAACUUAUUGUCUCCUUGUUAGUACCAACUUCUUGCUUGUCCUUUAAGAUAUGAUAUCCUCAAUCUGGUUAUAUCAGACACCUUUCCUACAUUCCUUUCCUGUCUUUUGAAAUAUGAUUGAAAUAUUUCAUCAAUUAAUGUCUUCUCUCCUAUUCUCUUUGUACUUGCAAGCUUAAGCCUCUUUUAUCUUUUCAAAUAUUUUAGCAGGCUCUCUGAAAGGAGAGGCUAUAAACUUCUAUGUCUAUUCUUCUAUCUUUAAAUUCAACAAGAGGCAGAACACUUUCAUGGUUAAGUUAGGCCUGCAUUUAAAUCCUGCCUCUGUCACAUACUUUUCUAAGACUUAGAAAUUUGCUAACCUCUGGAAACCUUGACCUCCUUUCUGUAAAAUGAGAACCUACCUCAUUGGGUUGUUGUGAGGAUCAAAUAAAAUAUGUAUGGUUGGCACGUA